rnacentral:lncRNA from 1 species
UUUUUUUGUAAUUCAUUAUUCAAAACUUUGAAUUACUAAUAAUAUUUAGAUGUAUUGAGUACUGAGUUGAGUAGUGCCCGCGCCAAACAUAUAUCGUGUGUCCACACAGGAAAAGUGUACGGUCUGACAUAUACGGAUAAUAAAACAUAUUUUUGUAGUAUAAAAAUAAAACGUUAAAAAGAGACGAUCCAUAAAUAAAUUAAAAUAAAAGUAAUUUUAUUAUACCGAAAAAAAAAAAAGAAAAAAAAAAGGCCUCGUGGUCCUAGUCAGUCUUCAUGACCAAUCAUUAACAUAGUGUUAUUUUUC